CACUAUCGUUAACUGAAUACAUAGGUUAACGAGGCGAACCGGGGGAACUGAAACAUCUAAGUACCCCGAGGAAAAGAAAUCAACCGAGAUUCCCCCAGUAGCGGCGAGCGAACGGGGAGCAGCCCAGAGUCUGAAUCAGCUUGUGUGUUAGUGGAACGGUCUGGAAAGUCCGACGGUACAGGGUGAUAGUCCCGUACACCAAAAUGCACAGGCUGUGAACUCGAAGAGUAGGGCGGGACACGUGGUAUCCUGUCUGAAUAUGGGGGGACCAUCCUCCAAGGCUAAAUACUCCUGACUGACCGAUAGUGAACCAGUACCGUGAGGGAAAGGCGAAAAGAACCCCGGCGAGGGGAGUGAAAAAGAACCUGAAACCGUGUACGUACAAGCAGUGGGAGCACCUUCGGGUGUGACUGCGUACCUUUUGUAUAAUGGGUCAGCGACUUAUAUUCUGUAGCAAGGUUAACCGUAUAGGGGAGCCGCAGGGAAACCGAGUCUUAACUGGGCGUUAAGUUGCAGGGUAUAGACCCGAAACCCGGUGAUCUAGCCAUGGGCAGGUUGAAGGUUGGGUAACACUAACUGGAGGACCGAACCGACUAAUGUUGAAAAAUUAGCGGAUGACUUGUGGCUGGGGGUGAAAGGCCAAUCAAACCGGGAGAUAGCUGGUUCUCCCCGAAAGCUAUUUAGGUAGCGCCUCGUGAAUUCAUCUUCGGGGGUAGAGCACUGUUUCGGCUAGGGGGUCAUCCCGACUUACCAACCCGAUGCAAACUACGAAUACCGAAGAAUGUUAUCACGGGAGACACACGGCGGGUGCUAACGUCCGUCGUGAAGAGGGAAACAACCCAGACCGCCAGCUAAGGUCCCAAAGUCAUGGUUAAGUGGGAAACGAUGUGGGAAGGCACAGACAGCCAGGAUGUUGGCUUAGAAGCAGCCAUCAUUUAAAGAAAGCGUAAUAGCUCACUGGUCGAGUCGGCCUGCGCGGAAGAUGUAACGGGGCUAAACCAUGCACCGAAGCUGCGGCAGCGACACUAUGUGUUGUUGGGUAGGGGAGCGUUCUGUAAGCCUGCGAAGGUGACCUGUGAGGGUUGCUGGAGGUAUCAGAAGUGCGAAUGCUGACAUAAGUAACGAUAAAGCGGGUGAAAAGCCCGCUCGCCGGAAGACCAAGGGUUCCUGUCCAACGUUAAUCGGGGCAGGGUGAGUCGACCCCUAAGGCGAGGCCGAAAGGCGUAGUCGAUGGGAAACAGGUUAAUAUUCCUGUACUUGGUGUUACUGCGAAGGGGGGACGGAGAAGGCUAUGUUAGCCGGGCGACGGUUGUCCCGGUUUAAGCAUGUAGGCUGGUUGUCCAGGCAAAUCCGGAUAAUCAAGGCUGAGGUGUGAUGACGAGGUACUACGGUGCUGAAGUAACAAAUGCCCUGCUUCCAGGAAAAGCCUCUAAGCAUCAGGUAACAUUAAAUCGUACCCCAAACCGACACAGGUGGUCAGGUAGAGAAUACCAAGGCGCUUGAGAGAACUCGGGUGAAGGAACUAGGCAAAAUGGUGCCGUAACUUCGGGAGAAGGCACGCUGGUGUGUAGGUGAAGUCCCUGCGGAUGGAGCUGAGACCAGUCGAAGAUACCAGCUGGCUGCAACUGUUUAUUAAAAACACAGCACUGUGCAAACACGAAAGUGGACGUAUACGGUGUGACGCCUGCCCGGUGCCGGAAGGUUAAUUGAUGGGGUUAUCCGUAAGGAGAAGCUCUUGAUCGAAGCCCCGGUAAACGGCGGCCGUAACUAUAACGGUCCUAAGGUAGCGAAAUUCCUUGUCGGGUAAGUUCCGACCUGCACGAAUGGCGUAAUGAUGGCCAGGCUGUCUCCACCCGAGACUCAGUGAAAUUGAACUCGCUGUGAAGAUGCAGUGUACCCGCGGCAAGACGGAAAGACCCCGUGAACCUUUACUAUAGCUUGACACUGAACAUUGAGCCUUGAUGUGUAGGAUAGGUGGGAGGCUUUGAAGCGUGGACGCCAGUCUGCGUGGAGCCAACCUUGAAAUACCACCCUUUAAUGUUUGAUGUUCUAACGUUGGCCCCUGACCGGGGUUGCGGACAGUGUCUGGUGGGUAGUUUGACUGGGGCGGUCUCCUCCCAAAGCGUAACGGAGGAGCACGAAGGUUAGCUAAUCCUGGUCGGACAUCAGGAGGUUAGUGCAAUGGCAUAAGCUAGCUUGACUGCGAGCGUGACGGCGCGAGCAGGUGCGAAAGCAGGUCAUAGUGAUCCGGUGGUUCUGAAUGGAAGGGCCAUCGCUCAACGGAUAAAAGGUACUCCGGGGAUAACAGGCUGAUACCGCCCAAGAGUUCAUAUCGACGGCGGUGUUUGGCACCUCGAUGUCGGCUCAUCACAUCCUGGGGCUGAAGUAGGUCCCAAGGGUAUGGCUGUUCGCCAUUUAAAGUGGUACGCGAGCUGGGUUUAGAACGUCGUGAGACAGUUCGGUCCCUAUCUGCCGUGGGCGCUGGAGAAUUGAGGGGGGCUGCUCCUAGUACGAGAGGACCGGAGUGGACGCAUCACUGGUGUUCGGGUUGUCAUGCCAAUGGCACUGCCCGGUAGCUAAAUGCGGAAGAGAUAAGUGCUGAAAGCAUCUAAGCACGAAACUUGCCCCGAGAUGAGUUCUCCCUGAGACUUUAAGUCUCCUGAAGGAACGUUAAAGACGAUGACGUUGAUAGGCCGGGUGUGUAAGCGCAGCGAUGCGUUGAGCUAACCGGUACUAAUGAACCGUGAGGCUUAACCUU
rnacentral:rRNA from 1 species